GACUGGAUGGUGUAUAGGUAACACAUCUGCAUUGAAUCCGCUGUAGGCUAUCUCCUCCUGCGGACGAGCCCUGUUCGAUUCGGGGUCCAGUCA